UUCAGUCUCUGGAUAUAGACCCGAAACCAGGUGAUCUAGCCAUGGGCAGGUUGAAGGUUGAGUAACAUCAACUGGAGGACCGAACCGACUAAUGUUGAAAAAUUAGCGGAUGACUUGUGGCUAGGGGUGAAAGGCCAAUCAAACCUGGAGAUAGCUGGUUCUCCCCGAAAGCUAUUUAGGUAGCGCCUCGGACGAAUACUACUGGGGGUAGAGCACUGUUAAGGCUAGGGGG
rnacentral:rRNA from 1 species